CUCCCGGCAGCCACAUGCGCGCCUGCGCUCUUCUCCGCCACCGGCUCUCUUAUCGCUGCCGGCCGGCGAUUAGGAGGGACGUCACCCGCCAACUGCAGGUGACUUAAGGCAUCAUCCAGGCCGUGCGCGGGCUUCUCCGGCCGUCCCUGCACUUCCUCGUAUCCUGCGAUAAAAAUCAAGAUACAAGGAACUGAAAAAUAACACAAUCUGAAAACAAUAUUUUUAAAGGAGGUCCUGAAAUUGCUACUCACACGAAGAGAGGCUGAGAUAAUCUGUGCUAUAUGAACUUCUGGCAUUUUGAUUCUGGUGCAUAUUUAGCAAAAUACUUAAUUAUACACUUCAUGUCAUUAGGCAACAAGAAUGUGGUUAAAGUUAAGCCCUUGUUUCAGUGCUUUGCUGAAUCAAGGUGAUUUGGUUUGCCAUCAUUUAAGUGACAGGACUGAGGUCACAUGCCUGGUUCUCCCAAGAUCUCAUGGAAUUCAAACAGAGAAUUUUUAAGAUAAAAAUCAAACACCUGUUGCUAGUUGCAGUGUUCCACUAAUGAUCCAUCUUCCAAGGGCUCAGUUGGAAGGCUAUGGCUGAAAACUUGCCUGGGGCCAUCAUAGUUUGCAUAAGAAUGUCAGAUCCUGCUGAGAUUUCCAGAAAUAGAAAUCUACCUGGCACAGAACUGGUAGGUUCAUGCACUGAUAAUAUUUUAAGUUCUAAUAAUGGUACAAGAAGCAGUUGAAUUAAUAAAACCAUUAGUUGA